GAUGAACGCUAGCGGAACGCCUAACACAUGCAAGUCGAACGAGUUUUAUUUGUAGCAAUACAAGGUAAAAUUAGUGGCAAACGAGCGAGUAACGCGUACUUAAUCUGCCCAAAAGAUGAGAACAACUAUAGAGAUGUAGCUAAUUCUCAAUAUGCCCCGCAAAAUGAAAAUAUGCGGGGGAAAGAUUUAUCGCUUUUGGAGGAGGGUGCGUCCUAUCAUGGUAGUUGGUAAGGUAAUGGCUUACCAAGCCUUUGACGGGUAGCCGGUCUGAGAUGAUGUCCGGCCGCGAUGGAACUGAGAUACGGUCCAUACUCCUACGGGAGGCAGCAGUGGGGAAUCUUGCACAAUGGGCGAAAGCCUGAUGCAGCGAUUCCGCGUGGAGGAUGACGCAUUACGGUGUGUAAACUCCUUUUUUGGUGGAAGACGAAUGACGGUACACCAAGAAUAAGGGACGGCUAACUACGUG
rnacentral:rRNA from 1 species